AACGUAGGAGGCAAGCGUUAUCCGGAUUUACUGGGCGUAAAGCGCAUGCAGGCGGUUUAGCAAGUCGGACGUAAAAGCUCCUGGCUCAACUGGGAGAGGCCGUUCGAGACUGUUAGACUUGAGGGUGGUAGAGGCGAGUGGAAUUCCCGGUGUAGUGGUGAAAUGCGUAGAUAUCGGGAGGAACACCAGUGGCGAAGGCGGCUCGCUGGGCCAUACCUGACGCUCAGAUGCGAAAGCUAGGGGAGAGAACGGG
rnacentral:rRNA from 1 species